rnacentral:ncRNA from 1 species
CAAAGGCUUGGUCCUGACUUUACUAUCAACUUUAGCUAAACUUACACAUGCAAGUAUCCGCACCCCUGUGAGAAUGCCCUACAGUUUCCCGCCCGGAAACAAGGAGCCGGUAUCAGGCACACCCCGCAGCCCAUGACACCUUGCUUAGCCACACCCUCAAGGGAACUCAGCAGUGAUAAACAUUAAGCCAUAAGUGAAAACUUGACUUAGUUAAAGCUAAGAGGGCCGGUAAAACUCGUGCCAGCCACCGCGGUUAUACGAGAGGCCCGAGUUGAUAGCCCCCGGCGUAAAGAGUGGUUAAGACAAACUAGACACUAAAGCCGAAUGCCCUCAAAGCUGUUAUACGCACUCGAAGGCAAGAAGAACAAUCACGAAAGUGGCUUUAUUUCCCUGAAUCCACGAAAGCUAUGGUACAAACUGGGAUUAGAUACCCCACUAUGCCUAGCCUUAAACAUUGAUGGCAAGCUACCUCUGCCAUCCGCCCGGGAACUACGAGCAUCAGCUUGAAACCCAAAGGACUUGGCGGUGCUUUAGAUCCCCCUAGAGGAGCCUGUUCUAGAACCGAUACCCCCCGUUUAACCUCACCCUUCCUUGUUUUUCCCGCCUAUAUACCGCCGUCGUCAGCUUACCCUGUGAAGGCCCAAUAGUAAGCAGAACUGGCUCAGCCCAAAACGUCAGGUCGAGGUGUAGCAUAUGGAAGGGGAAGAAAUGGGCUACAUUCCCUAAUGCAGGGUAUACGAACGAUGCACUGAAAUGUACAUCCAAAGGAGGAUUUAGCAGUAAGCAGAAAAUAGAGUGUUCUGCUGAAAUUGGCCCUGAAGCGCGCACACACCGCCCGUCACUCUCCCCGAGCUUAAAAAUUUUAAUUCCUAAAACCUUAUAACCGCAAAGGGGAGGCAAGUCGUAACAUGGUAAGUGUACCGGAAGGUGUGCUUGGAGAAAU